rnacentral:lncRNA from 1 species
GGCUCUCUCAGUACCUUCAUCUGGGCAGUUUCUCUUCUGAACAGUCUGUAUCUUUUUUAGAUAUUUUAUCUGAGAGAAUGUUUCUUUUCAAGCUGACUUUUACAUUUUCCACAUACAAAUGUGAAUUUUUUCCCUUGUUACACUCCCUGAACAGCCAGAAUGUUUCUAUGCAAAAAGGGACAGUGUUUUACAUGAUAAAAUAGCUAAGUAAGCCUUAAUAUGCUAGAAGAAAUAGGAGCAAUAACUCUUAUUUUUUUCUUUUUAGUGAAUAAGCUCAAACAUAGCAAGAGCGCCUACGAAUUUGAAUCCUUACGCCCAAAAGAAAGGAGUUCCAGUUCAGAGAGCCUAACAGAAAGUCCCCUAAUCAGCAAAAUGCCUUGGUAUGCUACUGUGAUUCAGGAUAAGGAUCGGACCUUGCUCAUGAUGAAAGAUGAGAUCAACCGACUUACUACCAUGGAAGAGGCUUGCCUGAAGAAGGACUCUGAGCUUGCCUUUCUCAAAGCAGAGGUGAAAUCACUAAAGAAACAGCUGCAACACCUAAAUGAAGUUCGAGGAACAGAUGUUGACUCCGAUGUAAAGGCAGAAGAAACCCAGAUCUGUCCAGAGACCAAGAUGCGUAAGGAAGAGAGUUUUCUUUCCUGUAUGACUUAUGAAGAGUCUGAGCCACAAGACGAAAUCACCAUCAUAGGGGGAAAGGAUCAAGUGUGCCUGGACACCUAUGAGCCUCUCCCAUCCUAUGAUGCCAGAGAGGCCAGUGUCUCAGGAAGUGUUGUAAAAGAUGAAGAGGAGGUACAAAAAUCAAUGAAAGAGGUAGGAUGGAGGGAAGAGGGGGAAGGGCUUCUGGUGGAAAAAGGCAAUUGCCCCCUUCCUUACCCCAUAAAUCUAGCUAAUGGGGCACUUCUCAGUCCCUUCUCCCCCACCAUUAUUCCUCUCCCAAGUGUUAUCUCUGAGGCUCUGUGGUAACCAGAGUAAGGCCAAGCACUGGUGAAUGUUUUUUUUGGGGGGAUGCCAAAUUCUGAGACAAGUGUUAUAAUUGUCACCAUUUUGUGGAUGAGGAAGCCAAACAAACAGCUCUCUAGUGAUCUCUAUGCACCUCCCCCCAUAUCAUCAAUUUGGUUUUUCAUUGUCAGACACUGCUUUCUUAACCCUGGCCAGUGGGCAUACAGAUUUGUGUUCUUGAAAGUGUAGAUGGGUUAAAGAAAAAGAGGGAAAACCCCCAAAACUAACAAGGCAUGACUUUCUGGGAGUAGUUUUGUAACAUCACCUUCCCACAAGAAUAUGCAUAAUACUAUGCCUAUACUGUGAUGAUCCAAUAUUUUUCUGAGUUGUUCUAUAGUCAAUGAAGCUUAAUGGUAAAGUGUAUAAAGUGCUAGAUUUGGAGUCAAGAAUAUCUAGACUUAAAGCUGUUAGAUUAAAAGAUUCCUUAUGAUUCUAGAGUCUUUCUCUCUGGAGACAUCCAGGCCAAGAUGCCUAGACCCUAAUUCAACAAUUCUGUCAUAAAAACAAGAUGGUCUCUUGUCCUUUUCCUGUCUAAUGUGGUCAAAUUUAGUCCAAUUACUCAGCCUCACAGAACAAGUAUAAAAUUUAAUUCUUACAUAAGCUUCCAUUUCUUUUAGUAAAGCAUCCCUAGCCUCACAUAAAUGUGCAUAAUCUUCAGCUAUUGGAAUUUCAUUGGGGAUUUUCUAAGGGCCAGCAUACUGCAUUGUCAUUUUGGGACCUGUUCACAAUGGAAAAGAUCAUGUUCCUUUCACCUUUCAUUAACAGAGGUGAAGCAAAUCUGUAACAUCUGCCCAACUUGGGUUAUAUAUCCUAAAUAUGCUUUCAAACUUUUUAAUCACUACCAUAGGUUCCUCGUCAAAGGCAGGAGUUUUCUCAAUGAAACUCUAAAAUCUGGUGGAGGAGAAGGUGUAUGAUGUCUAAUAUUUACUAAAUUCCCUCACCUAUCAUGAGUGGGAACAUCCCUUAAGGGGAAGAGACAUGUAUUGAGUCUGUCUGUGGUUCCUGGUGCUUGCCUUGUUGUUUUGGUAGAGACGGAGCACAUCCCUGGUGUGAUGGGGGAAGGGGGAAGAGAUAGAGAGAGACUAGGCAGGGGAAGGGAGAGGAAGAGAGGGAGGGGAAGGCUGGAAAGAGGGAGGGAAAGGGGGAAGGAGAGGUUGAGCAAAGGGAGGGAAAAGGGAGGGGAAUACUGAGCAAGGGAAGAAAGGGGGAAGGGGGAAACUGGAGGGAGGGAGAUGGGGAGCAGGAACCUGGGCAAGGGGGGAGGUAGAGGCUGGGCAGUGGGGAGGGAAAAACCAGGCAAGACAAGAGAAAGGGUGGGCAGGGCAAAUCAGAGGUUGAGUAGGGCAAGGGUUAGACAGUGAGGGGAGGAGUAGAGAGAUGGUACCAAAGGUGGGAUGGGAGGGAAGGAGAUAGGUGGGGCAUGGUAGCAGGGAGUGUCAAAGGAGUCAACUCAGGAUGGGCUAGAUCAAGAGAAGGAGAAGGUGUAGCUUCAUUGAAAGCUAGCUGGGAAGAAGCCAGGGUAUCUUUUUUUUUUUUUUUUAGAUUUAAUCAAGAGGCUUUUGGUGGUACUCGGCUUGGUUGAACCACCAAGGUGAUAAGCUCAGAGCCGCCAGUAGGAAUAUUCUCUGGAAUCCUUGCUACCAAUGACCAGUUUCAAUUCUUUCAGAAUCUUAAAAUCAAAAGAGCCAGAAUGGGGCCAGAUAAAAACUUUCAGCAUCCAGGCUUCACAAAGUCUUUUUGCCUCCUUUUUUGAUAUCCAAGGCUUGAUAGGAAAGCCUGAUUCAUCCCAAAUGCUUAGUACUUCAUACAGUGGUGAGCCCUUGGGAACCCUGCUUGACUUUUUCUAAUUUGUAGCAAUCUUCCCUGUCAUGUAAAAAGGAUUUAGUUGAUUAUCUGGUCAGAAGUUACUCCUUUUGUUCCCUGAAUUUAGAAAAAUCACUAGUCUUUCUUCCCUGUCUUCUUUCUGCCUGUCUGUUUUGGGCUCCUGCUGCGGAUGCUGUGGAAGAGAAACCCCCACUUAGGUAGUGGUGGGGUGUUAGAGUUUGGGCCCAGCAGCAGCUGUGUGGCACUGGGGCUAGGGUCCAGCAGGGAUCUGAAUCAGGGCCAGGGCCCCUAUGUGUGCUCUAUGGAAUCAAAUACCUAGAGAAUCCCAAAACAUUUCCAAAACUCUAAUAAAAAAAUGAAGACGCAACUUGCUUUUAGUUUG